rnacentral:rRNA from 1 species
GCUUACAGCCACACCACCCUGAACACGCCCGAUCUCGUCUGAUCUCGGAAGCUAAGCAGGGCCGGGCCUGGUUAGUACUUGGAUGGGAGACCGCCUGGGAAUACCAGGUGCUGUAAGUU